CGAGCGGCGCCUGCGCAGCGCGGCGGGAGGCGCCGAGCCGCGGCCAUGGCGCGGGUCCUGCGGGGGCUGCUGCUGCUGGAGGCGGCGGGGCUGCUCGGCGCGCUGCUGCUCUACCGCGCCAUGGACCGCAGCCAAGAUUUCAGAUACACAAUGCAGAAGAGGUUUCCAUCAAUUCUGGAAGUUUAUUACAAAUCCAAUGAGCGGUCUGGAAUUCGUGGCAUAAGGGAGAAUGACCAGAUGACAUGGUUAAGCAGCAAGAACUGAACCCUCUGUGCCUGAACUGUUUCUUCUUUUUGAUUAUGCUUUUCACAUCCCUGUUGUGAAGCCACCUGUCACGCUCUAUUUCCCACUGGAUCUGUUUGACAUCUGUAGGAGGAAAGAUGAGAAUUUAGGAGCCAAUGGAUACCUCUGACCAUGAUAUGGCAUACAGAUCAAUCAUAUAAAAAUUAAAACUUGACUACUGUAUUUAUAAAAGUUAAUAAAAUGCAAACUGCCUUUUUUUUGAGAAA